CUGUUCCAUGGCAUCGUUGUGGGAUAGAUGUCCACUGAAUACCAUUUUUAGGAUUUCAUGAUGAAGUUACUGAAACUGUGGGUCUCUCAUGCAAACCAGUUUUGCUAGAAUAUCAUGUUUGGUGGGUCUCAAGACACCUAGAAAUAGAUAUUGUCAUGGAAGGAAUCAGUUCCAGAAGGAAUCUUAGAAGAAUUUUUCACACAUCUUUUGUGAAGUCGAGGGACCCACAAAACAUUUACAAAAAUGAAAUCUUCCAGGGAAGUGUAGGCUACCCAAAAAUAUGAGAGCAGAUCUGUUUUGAACUGAAGUGUGGUGACAACAUAUGCCCUUCCCCCAUCCCCAAAGGGGCAAAGGCUGGCAAAUCCUAGCACACAAAACAGUAUUCCUAGUUGAGGCUUCUAUCCAUCUUGUGCGAAUGUUUGCUGCUGAAUGCGCUAUAAGGUGGGGGCCUGUUGCCUUGGGUGAAGUAAUUUAAGAUAAGAAGAAAAGAUUCAGGAUGAAAAGGUCUAUUAAUGCAAAUGCACGAAGAUGUGGAGGCCUCUAAAAGAUUUUUAAAUAAUCUGGAAAGAAAAAGUGAAAUAUCUUUAUCUACACAGGUGUUGCCGUUCCUGACAUGGGACUAUGGGAAAUCCAUGCAAGGUGUGAAAAAGCAGAAGCCUGCCAGUGAAGUGGUGAUUCUCAGAGUGUGGUCCUGGGCCCAGCAGCAUCCGUAUCCCCCAGGAACUUGUUGGAAAUGCUGACUCUCAGGCCCCACCCCAGGCGACUGAAUCAGAGACUGCAGGCAGUGGAGCCCAACAAUCAAAGCUCUAUCAAUCCCUUCAGGCUAGAGAGCUACUGUGCUACAGAACAGUGAUUGGCAUUGACAGAAGGUGAAAAAGCAAGAUCAGGAAAGAGGCUUAAGGAAUUGAAUGGUGGCUGGACACGCCUUGGUCGGCAGACGCAUGGACCUCUCUUCUCGUUCCUUCUUCUUCACAG